GAAGUUGCAUCUUGAUCUAGGAAGUAAGGAGCAAUUAGAGAGAAGUUAGGGAGGGGAAAGGCAGGGGCCUAGUAGAAGACAAACUCUUAUGUACAUUGUGUCUAUGAGUAAUUGCAGGAUGCUGAAUGAGAUGAUUGAGUCAGUCUUAGAUAUGUUAAUAAAACAGUUCCAGGAAACUGAUCUCCUUUGGUAUGGGAUUAUGAUUGACAGACUUGUUGUAUUAUUUACAUUGUUCCUGGGGAAUAAUUAUUAAUGGGGACAGAAUGAGCUCUUUUAGAUCUGAAUUUAAGGAGAAGGAAAUGUAAAUAUAAUUUUUUAGUCUUGAGAAUUUGGAAAAAAAAUAAAAGAUUGAAAGUUAAUAAUAAAUUCAGGAGACCUUGAGAAAUUGAAGUGACUUGAACUGAAGCAGAAAGAUUCUAUCUAAAGGGAGAAAAGAAAGUGUGCCCAAGGAAAAGGAUUUGAAGAGAUGGAGGAGGACAUAAGAGGAUAAGGUGAAGGCUAUGAGUAGGAGGAUAUGGAUUCCAGCUGAAAAGGAGGCUGUUAAAAAAAAAAAAAAAAGACCAAAUAUGUAAAGUCAGUUGGCAAGGUUAAGGAGAAGGAAAAGGAAAUUGGGGAUGUCUAUUAAAGGAUUAGAAUUAGAAAAAGCAAACUGUCUUGGUAGUAACAGAUCCUAAGGAGCUGAAAAGAGAAAGACCUCAAUUACUGGUGGCAAGGGAGUGAGUAUGGGAGUAAAGAAAAACUGGGUUCAAUUUUCCCUCAGCGAGUAUUCCCAGCAACUCUCUGACACACAACAGUUGUCCAUCUACAUUAUUUCCUCUCUGAAAGUUCCCUGCACCAGGCAAUCACAAGUCAUAUACCCCAGUCUCUUGAAUUCUGAGCCCAACUCCCCUGCCUCUCCUCCCCAGAUAAAUUGAUAAAUAUAGAAUUGAAAUUCCCUGAAAGCAGAUUACCACAGCAAAUGUACCAAAUAUUUCUAUCAAGGAAGAAAGACUAAUAAUUUUAUUUCAUGUACAUAUAAAGAACCAGGUAUAUUUUUUAUUGAAUUGGUUUUUCCGAUUCAGUGGUUCAUGGAAAUCUUCUGUAAGGAGAUCAGUCUUAGAUAAGGUCCUGAAGGAAAGGGUGCACUUAGAUUAGUAGUGGAUAGGAAAUGGACAUUCCAAACCAAAAAGCAUAUGUCUUAAUCUAUUAUACAGAUGGUUGCUAUUUUAUCAUAUAUUACACCAGGUUCAUCAAAGAUUAUAUUUAGGAAUGGUUGUCCUUAUGUUAAAUACAUUUCUGAGCCUGGAAUGUAUGACCAGUUCAUAUAUCUAAAGGGCAACUAGGAAAAGCAGUAAGUAGAGUCCUGGCCUUGGAAUUGACAAGACUCAUCUUUAUGAGUUCUAAUUUGGAUCAGAUACUUAUUAGUUUGUGACUCCAGGACAAGACUGUUUGCCUGAGUUUCCUCAUCUAUGAAAUGAGCUGGGAAAAGAAAUGACAAACCUUUUUGGUACCUUUGCCAACAAAAUACCAAAUGGGAUCACAAAGAGUCAAGACACUACUGAAAUUAUUGACAGCAACGCAUACAAUUCAUAUCUAGAGUUGAAACUUGGGGAGGGUAACUUUAAGAAAAAUAAAACUCAUAGUGAAAAUGUUUGUCAGAAACUAGGAACAAAGGCACAGUGAAUAGGGACCUAUUACAAAUAGAUUGUAGGGUUUUGAUUCUGUGAUUUAUAAUGACCCUUUAUAUUCAUUUGUCAACUUUAGGAGUGCAAAAAUAGUAAGAGAUUAUUCUGGAGGAUAGAUCCACUGAUAGCUUCUACACUGAUAUCUUCUUGGCAAAAAAUGAGUCUUGGAACAGGAAUAAUUGAAAUAUUAACUCUAUUAAGUCAUUCUUUGUAGUGUGUCAUUUGGUGGUAAAGCACUUUGUAACAACUAAGAGGCCUGCCUUGUUGAUGAUUGUCUUCUGGGAAUAAAAUUACUAAUUUUUGGUUUCUUUUUAAAAGACUCCCUGAAAAACCAGGAGCUGAUGAUUCCUGGCAAAAUAUGGAUGACAAAAUUAAUUUUGAAAAAGAGAAACAACCAAAUUUGAACUUCACUAAAAUUGUGGAUGCUAUUCAGCAAAUAAGCAAUAUCAGAAAAAAACAGAACAGCAACGUCUAUUCAAAAGUUACACUUUUUUUGGGGGACAAUGAAUCAUUGAGUGAUGAAGAAGAUAAAACAUAUUGUGAAGACCGUGUAUUUUUAGAU